CCUCUGGUGUACCAGUUGUCCUGCCAAGGGCAUGGCUGGGUAGCUAUGUACGGAAUGGAUAAGCGCUGAAAGCAUCUAAGCGCGAAGCCAACUUCAAGAUAAGAUUUCCCACCGCAAGGGUAAGACCCCAGAAAGACUAUCUGGUUGAUAGGUCGAAGGUGUAAGUGCAGCAAUGUAUUUAGCUUAUCGAUACUAAUAGGUCGAGGACUUGACCAAU
rnacentral:rRNA from 1 species